GCCGAUGUAGCUCAGUGGUAGAGCACUUCAUUGGUAAUGAAGAGGUCGUGAGUUCAAUUCUCAUCAUCGGCUCAA
rnacentral:tRNA from 1 species